AGGAUAAUAGUUUAAAAAAAAACAUUUAAUUUGCAUUUAAAUAAUAUUAAAUUUUAAUUUAUCUUA
rnacentral:tRNA from 1 species